UUUCUACAUAUUUUUCUUAUUUAAUCACAAAUCAAGGUGUGGAUUCCUAUUAAUUUUGUUUGUAUAGUAUUUUAAGAAAAAUAUAUAUCCUAUGUCGUUAGUCUUCACUUUUGCUGUUUUUCCAGAGCUUAAAAGAUAUAUGCACAUAUAGCUCGGUUCUGUUCCUGAGUAACCCAACUAUCGUAGAAUGUGUUUACACUACGGGAACUGAGAUAGCGAACAGGGCUAAAGUAAAUUGUAUCCAGAACAAUUGGGCAGUAAACGUUCAGGUGGAUGAUGAUCAAUGAUCAAACAUAUCAGAGAGUACAAAAGGUAUGCUAUAAUGAUGCUGACAGUUUUUUUUUAAUUCGAACUACUGAGAUUUUGUUUGCCUCUUGGCCCUUGAUCUUAAAAUUUAACCAAUAUUUGAGAAUAGGGAUUAGGUACCAGGCCAUUUCUACUGCUCAGCGAGAAGAAAUUUAUUGCCCUUCACCAGGUUACUUAGAACCAAAAUGGUUUCUGGAAUUGAAGGGGUUUUCUUCUCACCUUUUUCUUUAGGAAACAUUCAUCGUACUACUGUGAUUAUAGAUUAUAAGCUUUUUCAAUGUCAGAGCUUCGCCUAAGUUUAUGCUUCUUUCAAUAGUGUUCUUUAAACAGCUUAUGAGCCAACAUCUGUAUAUGUGUGUAUGUGCUUGUGAUCAGCAUGUUGCUAUGAUUGUACACUUUUUCUACCUCUUGAAUCAACCAACGGAGAAACAAGUAUAACCAAGUCCUGCUCUUAGUAUAUUAGAGUUUUGGCUUAUUGUUUGGAGAUUUGAGAGUCUCUUUUUUCUACGUGUAUUAAUCUAUAUUCUGCAGUAUUUUACUGUCUUUGCUUUCACUAAUGUAUAUAUUAAAUUAGUUAUA